UUCUCUCCUUUCAAACUCCUUUUCUGUAUUUCUCUCUCAGUUUCUCUGCGUCGAUCUCCCUCCUCCUCCUCCUCAUCUCUUUCUCUCUCUGUCUCUCUCUGUCUCUGUCUCUCUCUCUCUCUCUUCCCUUUCCCUAUCACAAUUCAAAAAUCGAGGCCCAAAAGCCCUAUUUGCUACUGUCAUUUGAUAUCUCUUUCAUUUUCCUCUUCGUUGUGUCCCUCUCUUUUCGUGGUGGUGGAGAAAAAGGUAGUAAUCUCGCAAAGUCAUACUGGUGCUCAAAGAUUGGAUUUUUACUGCUACCCAUCUGUGCAGGGAAAAGUUCGGAGAAGUUGAUGGAGGCAAGUGUUGAGAGAGAGCAGAUACUUGUGGAUUAAUUGCAGGAAAGCAUUCAAAGUCUUGAAAGGCAGUCCUCACGAGUGGAAGAAUUGUCCCAGAUUUUGAAAAGAGCAAAUAAUUUCUUGCAUUUUGUGUUGCAGAAUGCACCUGUUGUUAUUGGCCAUCAGGAUAAAGAAUUGUUGUAUCUGUUUAUCUAUAAUCACGUCCCAAGUUUGCAAGAGGAGCACAUUAUAGGAAGAACAGAUGUUGAGAUUUUUACCGGGGCCGGCGUUAAGGAAUCUCAAGACUUCAAGAAGGAGGUUCUAGAAAAAUGGUUACCUUCCAAAAGGACCAUUACAUAUGAGACACCAUUAUUUGGGUCAAAAACAUUUUGGAUACAUGUGGAGCCCGUCUUCAGCAAGGCAUGAGAGACAUUUGGUAUAAAUUACACGGGGAUAGAUGUCACUGAUCAGGCGAGGAAGAGAGAAAAGAUGGCAAAGCUUAGUGAGGAAAUCGCCGUCCAAAAAGCCGAGGAACUUAUAGUAAUUUUACGUAUAUUUUUAUAAUUUUUAAAAAUCAUAAAUUUUACAAGUAAUGCAAUAAAAUAAUAGCCAAAUGACACAAGUUAGAGUCUCAAUGCUGUAGUAUCACUUGUUUGCCACCAAAAUAUGUUCCGUAAAAGCUUUAAAAGGAUUCACUAGAGCUUCAACAUCGCUUCAUUUCCUAUUC